rnacentral:tRNA from 1 species
GGGGGUCUAGCUCAGUAGUACUGCACUUGCCAAGAGCAUGCAGGAGGCCCUGGGUUCAAUCCCCAGCAGCCCCC